rnacentral:rRNA from 1 species
UACGUAGGGUGCAAGCGUUGUCCGGAAUUAUUGGGCGUAAAGAGCUCGUAAGCGGUUUGUCGCGUCUGCUGUGAAAACUCGGGGCUUAACUCCGGGCCUGCAGUGGGUACGGGCAGACUAGAGUGCGGUAGGGGAGACUGGAAUUCCUGGUGUAGCGGUGAAAUGCGCAGAUAUCAGGAGGAACACCGGUGGCGAAGGCGGGUCUCUGGGCAACAACUGACGCUGAGGAGCGAAAGCGUGGGGAGCGAACAGG